rnacentral:snoRNA from 1 species
GCUGUUGAAGUGAUGAGUCUUCAUGUCUCUUCUCUGACAGAAUGAUGGAGAGAGCUUAAACACAUCAGC